CCCUAGAGAGGAGUUCUCCCAAGUUGAGGAGGCCCUGCUCGACCUUCUUUCUCCCACAGGGUAUGCAAGUCUGCCCAUUCCUGACAGCGAGGGUGGUUCUUUGAAUGCAGCUGGUGCUACACAGUGCCUUCCCUCCCAGGCUCUGGGUCCUGCUCAAGAAGGUACCCAUCCCUCCACAAGUGGUACACCGCAGGGAGAGUUUACUGUCAUGGUGAUUGAAGGCGAGGAGCGGAGAAUCCCAAUAAUAUCUGAUAGCAGCCUUGAGUCAAGGUUUCAUGGAGGAGAUUAAGGUGGCACCUCAGCUUCUUAAUGUAAAUGAAGUACGGGACCUUAUUUCCGACCUUGUGGGGACUCAAAGAGAGGCUGUGUCUUUACAGCGGGAGAAUGUGGCACUGCAGCGGGAGUGUGUUGCAAUGCAGCGGGAGACUGUGGCUGCCUUGCAGAAAUUAGCUGAAACACCAGCAGGCAUCCUAAAACUUGUCCAGGCUAUGGGAGGCCGAAUUAAAUAGGAAGCCAUAGGUUUUCCCCUCAUUUAAGCAAUUAAGGUUUAAAUCAUAUAGGAUUAAGCAUUUUUUAUUUCCUGGAUUUUUUUUCUCUCCUUUAAUCACUAAGUUAUGACGUAAAUCUUAGAGGAUCAAGUUAUUUUGUCUUUCUUAAGGUUGUUAGUUUUUUCUCAUUGUUUUUUUUGAGUUUAGGUGUAAAUAUUGAUUUUUUUUUUGUCUUUUUCAGGAUUAAGUUUUGAUGUAAUUUUUUUUUUUUUUGUCUUUGGAUUCUAGUCACGUUCCAUUUGCUCCCGAUACCAGAAUCUCAAGUUGAGCUGUGCUACAUUUUUAGUUCCUUAUGUUUCUAGUCCCCUUUUCCAUUUUUUUACCCAAUACCAUUUACCUCAAGUUGAGCUGCUAUAAUUUUCGUUUCUCAGGAUUCUAGUAUACCUCAAAGUGAGCUGUGCUGUAAUCUUAGUUUCUCAGGAUUGAUUAUAUUAACACAAAUAUUUUAUAAUGCAUAAGAGGUCAUAUUGGCAUGUACUCUUUUAUAAUAUUUUACUUAUACUAAAAUUUCUUUAUUUUUUUAAUAAAAGGAAACUAUAGCUAUACAUCUGUAAACGGUUGGUAAUGUUUAUACUAAGAUUUUAUA